GCACCGGUUGUGCAUGGAGCACGCGCUGGCAGAAUGCAAUUUUGAGACAUGUGCUUCUCGGCGAUCUGGGGUUCGAUUCCCCACCGGUGCA